UACGUAGGGGGCGAGCGUUAUCCGGAAUCAUUGGGCGUAAAGGGCGCGUAGGCGGAUAUUUAAGUCAGGUGUGAAAACCCAGGGCUCAACCCUGGAUCUGCAUCUGAUACUGGGUAUCUUGAGGACAGGAGAGGAAAGUGGAAUUCCUAGUGUAGCGGUGAAAUGCGUAGAUAUUAGGAGGAACACCAGUGGCGAAGGCGACUUUCUGGACUGUAACUGACGCUGAGGCGCGAAAGCGUGGGGAGCAAAC
rnacentral:rRNA from 1 species